rnacentral:rRNA from 1 species
UACGAAGGGUGCAAGCGUUACUCGGAAUUACUGGGCGUAAAGCGUGCGUAGGUGGUUUGUUAAGUCAGAUGUGAAAGCCCUGGGCUCAACCUGGGAACUGCAUUUGAUACUGGCAGGCUAGAGUGCGGUAGAGGGGUGCGGAAUUCCUGGUGUAGCAGUGAAAUGCGUAGAGAUCAGGAGGAACAUCCGUGGCGAAGGCGGCACCCUGGGCCAGCACUGACACUGAGGCACGAAAGCGUGGGGAGCAAAC